ensembl:rRNA 5S_rRNA 5S ribosomal RNA
UACAGCCAUACCACCCUGAACGUGGCCAAUCUGUUCUGACUCAGAAGCUGAGCAGGAUCGGGCAUGGUUAGUACUUGGAUGGGACAGAAAAGCUUUAGCGAGUCUGUGC